ACUGGCCCAAGGACUUUGGAGCCUGCAGUUAGCAUUUCCUCUUCCCGUGAGGGGACUAACUGGGCCGUCAUGAAGACGCCCUGGAAAGUGGAAGAAGCCCUGGGCCUUGCUUGAGAGGCAGAAAUUGUUAGGACACAGUUGAGGAGCCUUUCUCCUGCCUACAUACCCCCCAACACACACACACACACAAGCACACUCACACAUGACUUGAAUAUUCGAGAAUAUUUCCUCAUUUCAGCACUGGGAGAAGAUAAAGUAAAAGAAGACAUGUCCUGGCCUUUGCAGAGGUCCCUGGUACAUGGUGUAAUGAUGCCCAUGUGAGAACCAAGACUUUAUAGAGUCACAAAGUGACAUCAGAAUGGUGCAAAAUAGCCACGUCUAGAUUGGUUACUUUGUUAGGACAUCGGUCCUCAAACUUGGAUGUACAUAAGUGUCACCUGGCAUUGGGGUGCUUAUUUAAAGUGCAGAUUCUGGGGCUGUUGUCCCCGAAGCUUUAAUUCAGGAAGUGUGAAUGGGACCCUCAGCCAUAGCGUCUUGAGAAACACCA